rnacentral:rRNA from 1 species
UGGGGAAUUUUGGACAAUGGGCGAAAGCCUGAUCCAGCCAUGCCGCGUGAGUGAAGAAGGCCUUCGGGUUGUAAAGCUCUUUUAGUCGGAAAGAAAGAGUUGCAAUGAAUAAUUGUGAUUUAUGACGGUACCGACAGAAAAAGCACCGGCUAACUACGUGCCAGCAGCCGCGGUAAUACGUAGGGUGCGAGCGCUAAUCGGAAUUACUGGGCGUAAAGGGUGCGCAGGCGGUCUUGCAAGUCAGAUGUGAAAGCCCCGGGCUUAACCUGGGAAUUGCGUUUGAAACUACAAGACUAGAGUGCAGCAGAGGGGAGUGGAAUUCCAUGUGUAGCUGUGAAAUGCGUAGAGAUGUGGAAGAACACCGAUGGCGAAGGCAGCUCCCUGGGUUGACACUGACGCUCAUGCACGAAAGCGUGGGGAGCAAACA